UGGUGGGGGGGGGGCCUAUACAUUGCAAGUCGAACGAACUCUGGUAUUGAUUGGUGCUUGCAUCAUGAUUUACAUUUGAGUGAGUGGCGAACUGGUGAGUAACACGUGGGAAACCUGCCCAGAAGCGGGGGAUAACACCUGGAAACAGAUGCUAAUACCGCAUAACAACUUGGACCGCAUGGUCCGAGUUUGAAAGAUGGCUUCGGCUAUCACUUUUGGAUGGUCCCGCGGCGUAUUAGCUAGAUGGUGGGGUAACGGCUCACCAUGGCAAUGAUACGUAGCCGACCUGAGAGGGUAAUCGGCCACAUUGGGACUGAGACACGGCCCAAACUCCUACGGGAGGCAGCAGUAGGGAAUCUUCCACAAUGGACGAAAGUCUGAUGGAGCAACGCCGCGUGAGUGAAGAAGGGUUUCGGCUCGUAAAACUCUGUUGUUAAAGAAGAACAUAUCUGAGAGUAACUGUUCAGGUAUUGACGGUAUUUAACCAGAAAGCCACGGCUAACUACGUGCCAGCAGCCGCGGUAAUACGUAGGUGGCAAGCGUUGUCCGGAUUUAUUGGGCGUAAAGCGAGCGCAGGCGGUUUUUUAAGUCUGAUGUGAAAGCCUUCGGCUCAACCGAAGAAGUGCAUCGGAAACUGGGAAACUUGAGUGCAGAAGAGGACAGUGGAACUCCAUGUGUAGCGGUGAAAUGCGUAGAUAUAUGGAAGAACACCAGUGGCGAAGGCGGCUGUCUGGUCUGUAACUGACGCUGAGGCUCGAAAGUAUGGGUAGCAAACAGGAUUAGAUACCCUGGUAGUCCAUACCGUAAACGAUGAAUGCUAAGUGUUGGAGGGUUUCCGCCCUUCAGUGCUGCAGCUAACGCAUUAAGCAUUCCGCCUGGGGAGUACGGCCGCAAGGCUGAAACUCAAAGGAAUUGACGGGGGCCCGCACAAGCGGUGGAGCAUGUGGUUUAAUUCGAAGCUACGCGAAGAACCUUACCAGGUCUUGACAUACUAUGCAAAUCUAAGAGAUUAGACGUUCCCUUCGGGGACAUGGAUACAGGUGGUGCAUGGUUGUCGUCAGCUCGUGUCGUGAGAUGUUGGGUUAAGUCCCGCAACGAGCGCAACCCUUAUUAUCAGUUGCCAGCAUUAAGUUGGGCACUCUGGUGAGACUGCCGGUGACAAACCGGAGGAAGGUGGGGAUGACGUCAAAUCAUCAUGCCCCUUAUGACCUGGGCUACACACGUGCUACAAUGGAUGGUACAACGAGUUGCGAACUCGCGAGAGUAAGCUAAUCUCUUAAAGCCAUUCUCAGUUCGGAUUGUAGGCUGCAACUCGCCUACAUGAAGUCGGAAUCGCUAGUAAUCGCGGAUCAGCAUGCCGCGGUGAAUACGUUCCCGGGCCUUGUACACACCGCCCGUCACACCAUGAGAGUUUGUAACACCCAAAGUCGGUGGGGUAACCUUUUAGGAAACCAAGCCGGCCUA
rnacentral:rRNA from 1 species